CUUGGUCAUUUAGAGGAAGUAAAAGUCGUAACAAGGUUUCCGUAGGUGAACCUGCGGAAGGAUCAUUACAAGUGAGGCUACCGAACGUUGGAAACAGCGGUUAGGAGCUUACACCCACCCGUGUUUACAUACUAUUGUUGCUUUGGCGGGCCGUGGCCUCCACUGCGGGCUCUGCUCGUGUGUGCCCGCCAGAGAACCAAACUCUGAAUGUUAGUGAUGUCUGAGUACUAUCUAAUAGUUAAAACUUUCAACAACGGAUCUCUUGGUUCUGGCAUCGAUGAAGAACGCAGCGAAAUGCGAUAAGUAAUGUGAAUUGCAGAAUUCAGUGAAUCAUCGAAUCUUUGAACGCACAUUGCGCCCUGUGGUAUUCCGCAGGGCAUGCCUGUUCGAGCGUCAUUUAACCACUCACGCCUAGCGUGGUAUUGGGGCACGCGGUCUCCGCGGCCCUCAAAAUUAGUGGCGGCGCCGGUGGGCUCUAAGCGUAGUACAUACUCCCGCUAUAGAGUUCCCCCCGGUGGCUCGCCAGAACCCCCAAUUUUUUACAGGUUGACCUCGGAUCAGGUAGGGAUACCCGCUGAACUUAAGCAUAUCAAUAAGCGGAGG
rnacentral:rRNA from 1 species